AACGAACGCUGGCGGCAGGCUUAACACAUGCAAGUCGAACGCAUCCUUCGGGGUGAGUGGCAGACGGGUGAGUAACGCGUGGGAACGUGCCCUUCAGUUCGGGAUAACCCAGGGAAACUUGGGCUAAUACCGGAUACGUGCGAGAGCAGAAAGAUUUAUCGCUGAAGGAUCGGCCAGCGUCUGAUUAGCUAGUUGGUGGGGUAAUGGCCCACCAAGGCGACGAUCAGUAGCUGGUCUGAGAGGAUGAUCAGCCACAUUGGGACUGAGACACGGCCCAAACUCCUACGGGAGGCAGCAGUGGGGAAUAUUGGACAAUGGGCGCAAGCCUGAUCCAGCCAUGCCGCGUGAGUGAUGAAGGCCUUAGGGUUGAAAAGCUCUUUCGUCCGGGACGAUAAUGACGGUACCGGAAGAAGAAGCCCCGGCUAACUUCGUGCCAGCCGCCGCAGUAA
rnacentral:rRNA from 1 species